GAUGAACGCUGGCGGCGUGCCUAAUACAUGCAAGUCGAGCGAACGGACGAGAAGCUUGCUUCUCUGAUGUUAGCGGCGGACGGGUGAGUAACACGUGGAUAACCUACCUAUAAGACUGGGAUAAAUUCGGGAAACCGUAGCUAAUACCGGAUAAUAUUUUGAACCGCAUGGUUCAAAAGUGAAAGACGGUCUUGCUGUCACUUAUAGAUGGAUCCGCGCUGCAUUAGCUAGUUGGUAAGGUAACGGCUUACCAAGGCAACGAUGCAUAGCCGACCUGAGAGGGUGAUCGGCCACACUGGAACUGAGACACGGUCCAGACUCCUACGGGAGGCAGCAGUAGGGAAUCUUCCGCAAUGGGCGAAAGCCUGACGGAGCAACGCCGCGUGAGUGAUGAAGGUCUUCGGAUCGUAAAACUCUGUUAUUAGGGACGAACAUAUGUGUAAGUAUCUGUGCACAUCUUGACGGUACCUAAUCAGAAAGCCACGGCUAACUACGUG
rnacentral:rRNA from 1 species